AGGGCACCACCAGGAGUGGAGCCUGCGGCUUAAUUUGACUCAACACGGGAAAACUUACCUGGUCCGGACACUGGAAGGAUUGACAGAUUGAUAGCUCUUUCUUGAUUCAGUGGGUGGUGGUGCAUGGCCGUUCUUAGUUGGUGGAGCGAUUUGUCUGGUUAAUUCCGAUAACGAACGAGACUCUAGCCUACUAAAUAGACUGCUCAUUUUUAUAUCUGCUUCACCUUGCUCUGGCUUCGGUUGCUGGAGGGCUGUGGUGACAUUGGCAGUGCUUCUUAGAGGGACAGGCGGCGGUUCAGCCGGGGCUACCAGAGCACUACCCUGUCUGUGAUGCCCUGAUAUGCCCUGCGCCGCACGCACGCUACACUGAAUUGAUCAGCGUGCAGUUAGCGAUCCCUACUCCGUCUUGAGUGCGUAACCCGAGGAACCUUCUUCGUGAGUGAGAUAGGGGAUUGUAAUUAUUCCUCUUGAGCGAUGAAUUCACACCAAGCGCAAGUCAUAAGCUUGCAGUGAUUACGU
rnacentral:rRNA from 1 species